rnacentral:lncRNA from 1 species
AGAUAUUUUAACCCCAGGGUAAAUGAUGAUAAGGAUUGAAAGGGGGAUCAAAUCCCCAAAAUUUGGUAUAAAUAAUGGAGCAAAUGAACAGACAUUCAGCCAGCCGACAAUGAUGCCCUCACACUGAGAGCCUGAUGAGGACUGACACCCCAACACUUUUCACUGUUUGCCUGAUCCUCUGUUCUCACGGCUCUCAAACUCUAAACCCACAUCUUAACCCUGGUGAGAGCUGCAACUUCUCCCUCAACCAGCCCAGGAAAAGUCUGCCUUGGUUCCUGAUCUGAUCACCAUGGUCUGCAUGAGUGUGCAUCUGCUGGGUUUAAAGCCUAAGGCCUGAGACAUUUUUUCUUUUUAAGUUGUUGAUAGACCUUUAUUUUUAUUUAUUUAUAUGUGGUGCUGAGAAUCAAAUCCAGUGCCUCACAUGUGCCAGGCAAGUGCGCUACGAAUGAGCCACAGCUCCAACCCUAAGUCUUUUGAUCUGACACUUGAACUUGGCAUGCAGAGGGGAAUGUCUGUCAUUAGCCUGUCA